AAUGAAAUGCCUGAGAAAAGGAUUAUUUUGAUAGAAUAAAUUAUGUAAAUAUGUUUACUUUCAUUU
rnacentral:tRNA from 1 species